UACGUAGGGAGCAAGCGUUGUCCGGAAUCAUUGGGCGUAAAGCGCGCGUAGGCGGCCAUUUAAGUCCGCUGUGAAAGUCAAAGGCUCAACCUUUGAAAGCCGGUGGAUACUGGAUGGCUAGAGUACGGAAGAGGCGAGUGGAAUUCCUGGUGUAGCGGUGGAAUGCGCAGAUAUCAGGAGGAACACCGAUGGCGAAGGCAGGUCACUGGGCCGCAACUGACGCUGAGGAGCGAAAGCAUGGGGAGCGAACAGG
rnacentral:rRNA from 1 species